UACGAAGGGGACUAGCGUUGUUCGGAAUCACUGGGCGUAAAGCGCGCGUAGGCGGUUUUGUAAGUCAGGGGGGAAAUCCCGGGGCUCAACCUCGGAACUGCCUUUGAUACUGCGAGUCUUGAGUCCGAUAGAGGUGGGUGGAAUUCCUAGUGUAGAGGUGAAAUUCGUAGAUAUUGGGAAGAACACCGGUGGCGAAGGCGGCGACCUGGUCCUUGACUGACGCUGAGGCGCGAAAGCGUGGGGAGCAAACGGG
rnacentral:rRNA from 1 species